rnacentral:rRNA from 1 species
GUGUCAGCAGCCGCGGUAAUACAGAGGGGGCAAGCGUUAUUCGGAAUUAUUGGGCGUAAAGGGCGCGUAGGCGGUUUUUUAAGUAGGAUGUGUAAUCCCCGGGCUUAACCUGGGAACUGCAUCCUAGACUGGAAGACUUGAGUACUGGAGAGGGUGGUAGAAUUCCACGUGUAGCGGUGAAAUGCGUAGAGAUGUGGAGGAAUACCAGUGGCGAAGGCGGCCACCUGGACAGUAACUGACGCUGAGGCGCGAAAGUGUGGGUAGCAAACAGGAUUAGAAACCCCCGUAGUCC